rnacentral:rRNA from 1 species
ACUUCAAGAGCGCAUGGUGGAUGCCUUGACACUAUUGGACGAAGAAGGACGUUGCAGGGUGCGAUAAGCUUCGGUGAGGUCCCAAGCAACCUUUGACCCGGAGAUUUCCGAAUGGGGGAACCCAUCCUAUUUUAUAGGAUACUGUACACUGAAUACAUAGGUGUAUAGGGAAGACCUGGUGAAGUGAAACAUCUCAGUAACCAGAGGA